UACGAGUGCCCCAAGCGUUAUCCGGAAUCAUUGGGCGUAAAGGGUGUGUAGGUGGCGAUGUUAGUCUUCUGUCAAAUUCUUCGGCUUAACCGGGGGUCUGCAGGGGAAACGGCAUUGCUCGAGGAUGCGAGGGGUAAAUGGAACUCAUGGAGUAGGGGUGAAAUCCGUUGAUAUCAUGGGGAACACCAAAAGCGAAGGCAAUUCACUGGCGCAUUCCUGACACUGAAACACGAAAGCGUGGGUAGCGAACGGG
rnacentral:rRNA from 1 species